CCCACAUCAAUGUGUUUUGAGAUUUCAUUCCGUGCCGCCGCGCGGUUGCAUUUUGCUAGCGCGAGUUUGGAAUCUCUCUCUCCACCGCGCCUCCGUGGCAAUCGGCGGCGAUCACUCCAAUCUCUCACGGCCUUCGCUGAUGAUCGCCGUCGCCGAAAAUAAGUGGUGGAUUAGGUACCAGACGUAGCAGCAAUGGUUGCUCGAGCAUGUGAAUCGGUUGGGAUGGAAUGCCAAGUUAUGCAACUUUAAGCAAAAUAAGGAUUGUUGUCUGAUUGAAGAAGAGUAAGGGGAGAACAUACCUUGGUUGCAUGUGUUUGGCCACCAGGAAUCUUUCCAGCUUCCAUAUGCAGUGAAUCAAAUCUCUGUAGCCUCUUUGGUGGCAUUUUCUCUGCUGCAUAUGCAGAGCCAGAAUCACCGUGAGUAGCUCCAUUGGUGUGCUGAGGUUCAGCCAUCUUGAAGGAUCCGUUGGAGAAAGGUCUUCGUGAUGGUGCCAUUUGGAAUAUACCACCCGCAAGGCCGCAAUACGUGUCUAUGUAUGUGAAGUCCUCCAAAGGACUGACCGCUUUAGUAAUUGAAGGGACAAGAUCUUUGACCAUGUGCGCAAUUUAGAAGUGCGUCGAAAGCGCAUUCUUGGACGAACUCAGGGCAAAACACAUGAUGACGAUUACUGACUUGAUAGAUGCAGCCUAUGCAGCAUUCGUCUACAAGACUUGUGUGGGAUGAUAAGAAUGUCCUGUCUUGGCAUCUUUCGCCCCAUUUUCCAAUCCCCCUUCUGAAUAAAAUUACGCAUGGAAAAUUAGGGAAUUACGUGCUGAUUAUGGCAUUUCUUUCGUUGGUAGCAAUCAGUGGAAGCGGUAGACCGGAGAUUCUCAGCACCUGCUUUUGAUGGGUUGAUCGUUUUGAUCGUCGUGCGUAUGAUGCCAUCAUUGUUCGCCGUUAUGCUGACUCCUCUAUCCAGUUGCAGCCAUCCUUCUUGAAUCUUGACCCAUUUUCAUUUAUCUCGUCAGUUGAAGCAACGGCAUAGCUGUUGUGCCGUCCUCAUCUGGAAUUUUUUGAAUGACUCCAGUAGGGGAAUUCCCUACUGCAAGGUGUUUAUUUAGUUCAAUUGAAGAAAAAUAUAUUCAAACUGUACAAGGCCUAAGAGGAUAGGCAAGCUCAGCAAGAACAGGAGGAAGAAGAGAGUCUAUAAUCCAUAGAGA